GCGAGAGCUGGGGGGGGAGCUGGGGAUCCAGUGCUGCCUUGGAUGUGAGGCCCCCCCCAAAGCUCUUUUAGGAGACACUAUUUGUGCUGCUAAACUACCCGUGUCAGGGGUGUUUAUCCCCUCCAGGCCCUGCAGUUAGGCCAGCUCCUGCUCCUGACUGUGAGUGCAGAGCCCUCUGCGCAGGCUGCACCCCGGUGCUGUGGCAGGGUAAAACCACAUACUUGUCUGGAGCUCAGGAAUGUAACACGCUAGGGCCUAAGGGAUUUCACAUUUCUACUCCCUGCCGAGUGCCUCAGCACCUUCCAAGCGCCUGCUGUGCUCCAGACACACCUAAGCUCUGCUAAUCCAUCUGUACUCGGGAAUCGCUGCACAGCUCUGGCCACUGCUGCAUCUAGGAACUGGGCUCCAGUUCCCCACCCCUCAUUCCUCUACCUGCUUCCCACAGGGUGGGUCUCCUGCAAAAUCCUCUCCAGUUUCUCCACACAUUGUCGUUCCCAGCUCUGGAAGAGGAGCCUGGAGCUGAUGACAAGGGUUUGUGAGGAUUCUGCCAAGGGAUAUUUUGUCUGGGCUGCCCCUCCUUCAAUUCUGGUUUGGUUUUGUCAUUUUUUUGGGGGGGAUUGGUGGUUGUUUGCAAUUUUCCAAAUUAUUUUUCUAAACUUAUUAUUUGUAACUUUCUGAAAAAGAACAUUUUUAACAAACACCAGCUGAAUCUGCACUGCCUGCCUUGUUGAGGGUACAGUGAGCUGGGACCACAUUACCCCAUCCCUGCUCUUAGUUCCAGCAACAAUUAAAAAAAAUCCAGUUAUAAACCACUUGUUUUAACAUUUGAAACAAAUCUUUUCCCAUCCAUGCUCUCUCUCCAGUUCAGUGUGAUCAGCUGAAAACAAACCGUACCAAAAAAUGAAGGGAUUGAUUUCCAUCUGUCAGGUCCUCACCUGCCAGGCUGCCCAAACCCUCGGAAGGGAGAGCCCGUGGGACACACGGAGGGUGAGUGCAGCCAGAAGGGGCCCUUUCUGUCACAGCAAGCUUUAGUCAGCUUCAGCCACCCACGAGUACACCCUCACUUCACUCUCAUCUUUCCUGGAAAGGCUCUGGCCCCUUCCAGCCUGUCCCCUCGCUCCUGGCCCUCAGCAGUGCCAGCUGCUCCCUCUCCUGGCCUGCCUCAGUUCCCCUUCCCCCUUGCAUACAUCCUCCCCGUGCUGUUGCUGUGAUUCAUUAACGCCCCAGAGACACCGGUCUGAGUGGAAAAAACCCAAGCAAGCACCAGGUUGUGCCGCUCUGUACAUUUUCUAUAGUGACUCACAGGCCUGACCAGCUCUACGUGUGAGCUUGAGGAUGGGAAGUUCUCCCUCGCUGACCCGUGGCACACAAUGAAGAGCAAAGGAAAACACUGACUGCAGCAACUUUGCCUGUGGAGGGACCACAGAGCAGAGCUGCCCCCCUUUCCCCCUGUGGGCCACGCACAAAUUACUUUGUCAUUGUGGAGAAACAAAUAAGGCUUCGUUCUCAUUACCAUCCUGAUGGGAGUAAACAAGUUUAUUUACACUUGAGCACUGCUGAAGAAUAAAGUCAUAGAGAAAAGU